rnacentral:misc_RNA from 1 species
AUUUCUCUUGCUUUCGCAAGUGGAUCGUGGAGGCUUAGGGGUCUGUGCAUGUGCGUGUGUGUGGGGGCGAGGGCGUUGGUCUCUCUCUUUGCCCCCUCGUAUGCUCUCCGGCUAGCAGCAUCCCGUCCCGCCUUCUUCACGGGCUUCCUUUUUGGCCGUCGUUCUUGAGAAAAAGAGAAGCCCCACGCCGACCAGCCACGCAGCUACUCAGCAACCACACACGCACACACGUAAACGAAGAGGGUGGCAUCACAGCGAAACAGCACCGACAGUAACAACAGAGCCGCUCGAGCCUGAAGCAGUAGAGAGGCCUUCAGCAAAUCAUGGUAUAAUCGCAUAUAAAGAACUAAUGAAGGAAGACGCCGAAUACUUUCUGUGCACGUGUUGGGAUGAGUGUGGGUGUGCGCGAGCUUGGGAGUUGUACGACACUGCUAGGGUGGCAUCACGAGGCUCAACAUGAGAAGCGGGGCUGGGUGGACAUCUUUUUUUUUCCUCUGCGCCACCACUGCUUCCUUUGUGCAUGUGCGUGAACGUGCCUCGUUGCUUCGCUGUGUGUCCUCCUCCUACACCGCCGCAACAGCCUCUUUCCUUCCUACGGUCACCCCCUUAGCACUACGAACGGCUUCGCGUCUCCGUAACCUGCCGCGGAGGCAGCGAUGUGAUUUCCUUUUGCGAAUGUAUUCUGUGGCUGAGCGGGCAUGUGCGCAUCGUCCGCGUCCGUCGAGGUAUGAGCGGAGUCGGCGAGAGAGAUGGUAAGCGAGAGAGAAGGAGCACAUAAAGAAGAAAGCUGUAGAGGCAUCGCCACCGCUGAAGAGUGGGCGCGCUCUCGGUCAGCGCACCACCCCACGCUACCGCGUUAUGUCUUUGUGUGCGUGUAUCCGAUAGGGCCUGCGCUUCUAGCCGUUGCCGUUUAUCGCGGAUGGCGCCACGUCAGCGGGCCUGAAAGCGAGCGCUUUCUGUGCGGCGUGCCCCUUCUGCUGCCAUGGUGUGCAUCGAUUCAGCGUCGCGAUCGCCUCGAAUAC